AUUGAACGCUGGCGGCAUGCCUUACACAUGCAAGUCGAACGGUAACGGGCCUUCGGGUGCCGACGAGUGGCGAACGGGUGAGUAAUGCAUCGGAACGUACCUUUCAGUGGGGGAUAACGUAGCGAAAGUUACGCUAAUACCGCAUAUUCUGUGAGCAGGAAAGCAGGGGAUCGCAAGACCUUGCGCUGAUUGAGCGGCCGAUGUCAGAUUAGCUAGUUGGUGAGGUAAAGGCUCACCAAGGCGACGAUCUGUAGCGGGUCUGAGAGGAUGAUCCGCCACACUGGGACUGAGACACGGCCCAGACUCCUACGGGAGGCAACAGUGGGGAAUUUUGGACAAUGGGGGCAACCCUGAUCCAGCCAUGCCGCGUGAGUGAAGAAGGCCUUCGGGUUGUAAAGCUCUUUCGGCCGGGAAGAAAUCGCACAGGCUAAUACCUUGUGUGGAUGACGGUACCGGAAUAAGAAGCACCGGCUAACUACGUGCCAGCAGCCGCCGUAA
rnacentral:rRNA from 1 species